AAUAGUGUCAUUGCCACAGAAUAAAAACGAAACUACUCAUGACAUCAUUCCGUCUACGUCAUCCAAUCCAUCUACGUCACUUCCGGUUGUCACGUGAUUCAGGAUGGUGGAGACCACAGCCCUUUUCUGUUAAGUCACUUCCAUCACCCGAGUACCUGCGGUUACUACUCGUAUUCAUGAGGAAAAAGAAUUGAAUUGUAAUAAGUUAAUAUUAUUUUAAAUAAAUUCUAGUGUUCGUCUAUGUGUGGCCUCUUAAUUUAGUUACGCUGUUUUUCUUUGAUUGCUGAUUUAACAUCAUCGUAGCAACAGUCACCCUGGGAAGAAAAGAUCUCUGAUUGCUGCCUGUCACAUUAAAAGAUUCUUGGAAAUGGAUGAUGAGAAAUCUGGCAGAAAUCUUGUUUGGGAAAUUUUAAAUUAAAUGUUUACAAGAAAAUUAUUUACACCGAACUUCAUGACUUCAUUUGUACUGAAAAGGAUUUUAAUAGUGCCUUCCAUAUGUUACAAAUUACACAUAAUGUUCUGCUAUCCACAAUUUAUCUCACUGGCUAUUAUAUGUAUAGGUUUCCGAAGACCAAAAUGUGAAUAGUGUCACGACAACUUUACUUUAAAUAAAACUUUGGAAUCAGA